rnacentral:rRNA from 1 species
UCGCAAGACCAAAGAGGGGGACCUUCGGGCCUCUUGCCAUCGGAUGUGCCCAGAUGGGAUUAGCUAGUAGGUGGGGUAACGGCUCACCUAGGCGACGAUCCCUAGCUGGUCUGAGAGGAUGACCAGCCACACUGGAACUGAGACACGGUCCAGACUCCUACGGGAGGCAGCAGUGGGGAAUAUUGCACAAUGGGCGCAAGCCUGAUGCAGCCAUGCCGCGUGUAUGAAGAAGGCCUUCGGGUUGUAAAGUACUUUCAGCGGGGAGGAAGGUGUUGAGGUUAAUAACCUCAGCAAUUGACGUUACCCGCAGAAGAAGCACCGGCUAACUCCGUGCCAGCAGCCGCGGUAAUACGGAGGGUGCAAGCGUUAAUCGGAAUUACUGGGCGUAAAGCGCACGCAGGCGGUCAGUCAAGUCGGAUGUGAAAUCCCCGGGCUCAACCUGGGAACUGCAUUCGAAACUGGCAGGCUAGAGUCUUGUAGAGGGGGGUAGAAUUCCAGGUGUAG